CAGCAGCCGCGGGAAUACGUAGGUGGCAAGCGUUGUCCGGAAUUAUUGGGCGUAAAGGGUUCGCAGGCGGUUUCUUAAGUCUGAUGUGAAAGCCCCCGGCUCAACCGGGGAGGGUCAUUGGAAACUGGGAAACUUGAGUGCAGAAGAGGAGAGUGGAAUUCCACGUGUAGCGGUGAAAUGCGUAGAGAUGUGGAGGAACACCAGUGGCGAAGGCGACUCUCUGGUCUGUAACUGACGCUGAGGAGCGAAAGCGUGGGGAGCGAACAGGAUUAGAUACCCCUGUAGUCCCUGUCUCUUAUAC
rnacentral:rRNA from 1 species